UCUAUGGUUGGGCAUAGACGUAUGAUAGACGUCAAAUAAUUUAUUAAUAUUGCAGGCAUUCCAUUUACUAAACUAAUUAAUUAUUAUAUUAUUUUCGCUUUCGUAGUGAUUUUCCCAAGAAUGAAUAAGUAUGAAUCAUUAGAUCAAUACUGUUAAACAAGAGAUACAGUGAUUUGACCAUUUGUACAUCAGAAAAUGGCUCUUCCCUCAAAUUAUAAACAAGCAGCAGUGUCAAUGUCUGGACCUCAAACUCCAAAUCACUACUAGUGCUCAUGAUUGGCUUUGUUUGUGUUUGUUGUUCAAAUUUACUGUCCACAGGUUCCCCAAUGACCUUCAACAUACUCAAAGAAAGACUUCGUGCCUCAGGAGGAUCUAGUAC